UCCGUAUUAUUAUUUGUUCAGUGGAGGAUUAUUCUUUUUCUUGCUUUUCGGUAAAAGCAAUUUGCAAGAUAGAUUAAUUUGGCAAAAUCGUUUGACAUUUGAAAGCUCGUUGGAAUGUUAAGUUCAGUUUGUUUUGGGUUUGUUGUUUGUGUGGGAGUUGCUGCUUAUUUCUCUAAAUUGAUGACUUUGCCUCUUCAUGGAAUUGCUGGUGGUCGCUGCUUGUUUCUCUAAAUUGAUGACUUUGCCUCUUCAUGGAAUUGCUGGAGGUUGAGUGAGUUUCAAUUUCUUUAGGGUGUGGNNNNUUUAUUGGUGUUUCGUUAUGUCUUGGUAUGUUUGGCUUUUUACUCCU
rnacentral:lncRNA from 1 species